rnacentral:sRNA from 1 species
CCGAAACUCCCAGAGGGAGGGUGAGAACCCUCGUCAGGGUUCGACUGAUACCGCAGGUAUCAGGACAACCUGUGCAACAGGUUGCCCCAAAGGGGUGAGCGCAGCGAAUCAAUCCCUCCCUCACCGCCA